AGCCUCGGCCUGGGCGGAGCCGCUGGCGGCCGGCGCCCUGCGCCCUUGCAGCAGGACUUCUCCACCGUGAUCGCCACCAGGCUCGCCGAGAAGCCGCAGAGCCGCCCCACGAACCACCAUCUGCCGGGGAACGAGGAUGAGGAGGAGCACACCCUACACUAUGAGGCCUACCUGGUACAAGUUCCAGGAUUAGGACCCUGCAUUGUCCUGGCUCCUCAGCAACAGACAUCAGGUGGGCACUACAGUGAGCAAGCACUGGCGACACCCCUGGGCCCUGUGUCGCUGAAGCCGUUCCAGCCGCAGCACCACCAGGACUUCCACGACCACGACCACGACCUCGAGCACGAGGCACCAGCGCCACCACUCAAGAAGCCGGCUGGGGCCGCUCAUGCGAAACCUGCUGCCAGCCGCCUCAACGAUCUGCGAGAUGCCUACCAGAGAUAGCUUGUGGACAGUUGCUGAACAUCUCAGAUCGUCAAGUGUCACGUCAUUCAGCUUCACUGAAAGCACAGAAGUUCACUGUUCGUAUCUCAGCUAGACACAUUUUCUUCUUUACUUCCUGAUUUCUCGUGUAUUGUAGUAUGUGGUGCUAUACUGCUAUAAUCGAUGGCAAUCACCUUGAACUUUUCUCAUCGAAUCAUCCCACGCAUAGUGACGACACAAUCUUCUUAUUGGCUGCUGUUGCACUUUUCGAUUCUUUGCCCCCAUCAUCAGACAUAAUUGUUACUCAGUCACUGAAGUUACAUAAUGAUAAGUAUGACCACAUGUUAGUUACCUUUUGCAGGAUGAAGGUUUUCAUAAGUGACUGAAUAAUUUUUCUAGCAGCGAAUUCUGUGCCAAUGAAUCGUCCAUUCCACUUUCUGGCACAUGAAUAUUUUAAAAGUUCUUAUUAUAUAGUCACUGUCGAGUUUUUCUUAGUCGGUAAGUAUACUGUCUCCCUAAAUAAAGCAAGAACUGGAACAACGUCCUGUCACGGUCGCCACUUUAUAAUAUAAUAAAAUAAUGGAAUAGAUGAUAAUAAAAUGUUGGAAUG